AAAAAAUGUGAACAGUACAAAAGUAUAUUAAAAUAGAUAGCGCAGACAGCCUUCCUUCUGGAGAAUCAUUAACAUUCUGGCAAAUACUUUUACACAUGUAUACACCUAUGUUUUUAUUUGAAAAAACGCAAGUUAUAUAUAUGGUUUUGAAAACUUAAAAAAAAAAAUUCAGCUGGAUCUUGGCAACAUCUUUCCAUGUGGAUAGCUGAGAUCAAUCUUUUUAAAGACUGCAUAUUCUCCUGUGAGAUUAUAACUUGCUUUACUUGGCUGAAACACUAAUGACGAACGCUUUUUUGUUUUUCAGGGUUUUCAAAUGAUAAAUGAUGCUGUGAAGAACAUCCUUGGAGGCAGAGAAUUCUCUCUGGAAAAAGAAAGACAUGGAUUGACAGUAAUCAGGUAGAGAUGUGAGAGCUGGACCGUAAAGGCUGAGGGUCGAAGAACUGAUGCUUUUGAACUGUGGUUGUGGAGAAGACUCUUGAGAGUCCCUUGGACUGCAAGGAGAUCCAACCAGUCAGUCCUAAAGGAAAUCAACCCUGAAUAUUCAUUGGAAGGACUGAUGCAGAAGCUGAAGCUCCAGUACUUUGGCCACCUGAUGUGAAGAGCCGACUGAUUAGAAAAGACCCUGAUGCUGGGGAAGGUUGAGGCAGGAGGAGGGGCGACAGAGGGCGAGACGGUGGGAUGGCAUCACUGCCUCCAUGGACAUGAGUUUGAGCAAGUUCCAGGAGGUGGUGAAGGACAGGGGAGCCUGGCGUGCUGCAGUCCACGGGGUCACAAAGAGUGGGAGACGACUGAGCGACUGAACACCACCACCUCCCUUGAGGAAUCCAGGUCCCAGUGCCCUAGACCCCUGGAUCACAGCACCCACCCCAACCUGACUUACCUGCUCUGGGCUGCUUUCCUGCUGAGGGACUCUGUAACCUCAAACUACCCACUUUUCCCCACCUCCUGACCCAACUUCCAUUUCCUCAGUGAUUGAUAAUCAGAUGAGAGCUGGAAGAGAAGCAAACUGAGCAGGGGGAUGCUUACUAGCAGCCGAAUGACUGAAACUCUCUAAGCCCCUCACUGCACUCUCGUGUUAAAAUGAGCUGCUCGUGAGAGCCAUCGUGGGCAGGAAGGUAAAGGAGUGGAAACUUGGGGUUAAGGACUCAGAAUCUUCACACUGACGCGCCUCUCAUGAGUGACUGACGCUGGCAGCGGUUAGGAAAUGACCCUUUCUUGGGAAGAACACGGUUGCAGGUUCAGACACCCGGGGAUCUCCCCCCAGUGAAUCAGCGGGUUCUCUGCCAGUUCACGGCCGUGAAACCUCAGUGAAUAAGCCACUUUUAUGCACACAGAACCCUCGACCAGCUUUCUGUGCCUAAGAUAACAUCUCAACAGACAGCCAAGGACCACCAGCUGUUUGUGGAACAUUCGAACAUCAAAGCAAAAGACCCGAGUACCGGAAACAGCAAAACAAAACUUCAAAAGUAGCGUAGUUAGUCUCUGUAGAGAGAUAAGAGGCAACCUUUUACCCCUGAAGGGAGAGAAGGUGCAAAAUAAACAAUCAGAAGGAGAAAGGGCUUCGGGCUCUUGAAGAGUAGAAUGUCUGAAAAUACCUAUUCAGAAGAAAGGACAGUGGAUGAGAACGUCAGAAAAUUGUACAGAAAGACAGAUGGGAAAAUAGGAACGGAAAGAAAAUGAGGGGAUCCAUCCUGAAAUCCCCGUAUCUGGGGUGGGGGGGGGGCGGAAUUGGAGAGAAGAAAAUUAUAAAGAAAUAAUACGAGAAAAUCUCAGGAUGGAAGGAUAAGCAUCUCAAGAUUGAAGGGCCCAGACCUCCCUGCCAGUGCAGGGCACGUGGGUCCCAUCCCUGGUCAGGGGAAAUCCCACACGCCAUGGAGCCACUAAGCUGCUGCACCACAACUGCAGAGCCCGCAGGCCUAGAGCCUGUGCCUUGCCAGAGAAGGCGCUGCCGUGAGCGGCCUGCGCCCCCAAACUAGAGAGAAGCCCCUACUUGCGGCGACUAGAGGA
ensembl:lncRNA